ensembl:lncRNA
GUUGAAGGAGUUGUGCGGUUUCAAUAAGAGGGAUCUUAUUAACACAUGAAUUAAUGAUUCCCUGAACUAUUCAAAAUAAAGAAUUCCCAAAAUAGGAGCACUAAAUAAAGAGGAAAACCACAAGUGUUUCCAUUUGCGGGGUCUCUACUUGAGAUUUUCUGUAAGUGAACCGUGUUAACUAAAGUUUGCUUUAAAGUGUCUAAUUGCUGUAAACUCACAUGCAAGGUCACUUUGAGUGGGUGCACUUAGGAAAACAACCACCAUCAGUGUCUCCAUUCAAAGUGAUCUUGAUAUGAAACAUAGAACUCAAUUUGAUAGACAUAACAUGGAGGGUCAGGUAGAAUUUGUAGCAGUCGAUGAGUGUGUCUAUUUGAGAUCUUUAAGUGAAACAUUUAAU